rnacentral:lncRNA from 1 species
AUAUGUUAAAUGUCCUAUUAGACUACUUAUAUUUCCUAUUAUCAUGUUUUAUAAAUAGAGCUCCACAGUAUUUGAAUUUUAUAACCACAUUUUAAUUCACAGCCUUUGAGAUGAAUUGUAUUUUGUGUGGUCAUUCCUAAAAGCAGGUAGAUAAUUUAGACUUGUGGCAAGUUUCUAGGAGGCAUUGAGGAACUAAAGGGCAUCAUACACUGUUUAGGAGGGCAGGGAAGAAAAGGAGGAAGCAAUAAAAGUCAGAAGGGGAGCAGAGCUGUGGAAGAAAAGCAGGCAGCAGAGACAAGUGCAAAAUACUAAAUAUGCUAGAUAUCAUUUCCUCAGAUGUAUUAGCUCCCCUUUACAUUUAAUGCCAAAUUAAAUUCCACCAGACUUUUAAGAAAUUGUUCAUCGUUUAGAGCUUUUGAUGCGAAAACUGUAGCCAGCUGAUUAAUCCCUUUUAUUUUAGAUUUGAAGUACUGAAAUAAAAAUGGAUUUAUAUCUUCUUAAAAUUAAAUUGCUUUUUCUUCAAUCAUUUUGUGUGUAGCAGAAGCACAUGAAAAAGCAAGUCAGAUGAAGAUAGAAUUAUUAAGUCAUGGUGCUAUAGGACAGAGGUGAAAGGUAGGGAGACGAUCCAUUCUUUAAUUUUCAGGUCUAUUUGCUCUCUUUA